rnacentral:rRNA from 1 species
UACGUAGGGGGCUAGCGUUGUCCGGAAUCAUUGGGCGUAAAGAGCGUGUAGGCUGCUCGGUAAGUCCGCUGUAAAAGUCAAAGGCUCAACCUUUGAAUGUCAGUGGAUACUGCCGGGCUAGAGUCCGGAAGAGGCGAGUGGAACUCCCGGUGUAGCGGUGGAAUGCGUAGAGAUCGGGAAGAACACCCGUGGCGAAGGCGACAUGCUGGGUUGCACCUGACGCUGAGUUGCGAAAGUGUGGGGAGCAAACGGG